AGCUUCGAUCGUCGGUAGCCAUAGCGUCUCCUCCCCUUCCCUUCCUCUACCAUGGACGCGAGCUCCAAGAUUCUGCUCGUCCAGGCCCCUUCCCAGGUGCUCCCGCUGAGCCCUUGGCCGAGUUUCUUUCCAUGGCCGCCGCAGCACCUGUUUCCUGCACGCUGGUCGCCCCUGCCCCAGCCAUGGUGCCGUCAGGCCGCCCGUCUCCUACCUCCCAAUGCCAGCCCUACUCCUAUGGCCGCGCCCUCCCUCUUCUGCGGCAGGUCGGCGAUCCCAUCUCCUUGCCCCUCCCAUGGCGGUUUCCGCCUGGAUCCCUCCCUGCGCGCACUCCUCUCCCCAUGGCUGUCGUCGCCCCCAAGCCUGGGGUCUUGCUGAGCUCGCCCAGCCCUUCCCCAUCUCAUCCCCACCUCCUAGAUGGUCGGCGCCCUCACCCCAUGGUGCCAUGGACGCCCGCUCCCUUUUGCUGCUCGACGUGGACAGGCUCGGUGCCCUCUCCUCACUUGAAGUCAGCAACAACGUCUCGGUAGUGGUCGAACAGCACGUUGUCGACUCCGUGAUUUUUGGGCAGCCCGGUUGCACUGUCGUCAAACCUCGCCCUCUGUCGAAGACGCGUGACGCUUGCUAGGUGUCAAAUAGAAAGACUGAACCGAAACUAUCGCCAUGUUCGCGGACACCGCGUCAAGUUUAGUCGUGGUACGCUAGAUAAUUAUGCGAGAUGAAAGGCAUGGAUCAGAAUGAACCACAAGAUGGUAUUAAUGGAAUAAUCGAAUGGAUGCAUCAAGCUGGUACCAGAAUGGGAGAUGCUCGCCAAGCGGAUGUCUCUAACAACACUAA